GAAUCUACCCCAGGACCUGGUUCUCCCAUGUGCUGGUUAGUGUCAUGGCCCUGCCUAAAGCGACCUGUCCCCUAUUCUGACAUUCAUUCAGGUCCUGGGAUCUAGCCCUGCCAGACAGGCCCCAGCCCUAGCUUUUGUGUGAAUUGGCUAGUGG